rnacentral:lncRNA from 1 species
UACACCCUUCUCAUUGGUAUCUUCAUUUGUUCCCAGAUUUAGCUUCCACUAUUCUGCAGUUCAUGGAACAGGACAGUCAGCAAGUUGAAGAUCAAACCGUAUGUAACUUCAACAACCUCAGUGGCAGCAACAUCUCUGUCACACAGAGAUAUUUCAGAAGCAAAAUCCCAAUGGUAUGAAACAAAACAUCUGAAUGACGAAAUUAAGCUAUCUAGUGGAUCGUGGUGAUGACAACCAUUAGGACACAAGAAAUAGUAAAGUGGCUGACAGUAGUAGAAAACUGCUGGCAUAUUAGGCCAAAACCAAAAUAAAAAUAAAAAAUAAAGAAAACCA